rnacentral:rRNA from 1 species
GAUGAGACCGCCAGAUCUACGGGAGGCAGCAGUGGGGAAUUUUGGACAAUGGGGGCAACCUGAUCCAGCAAUGCCGCGUGAGUGAAGAAGGCUUCGGGUUGUAAAGCUCUUUUGUCAGGGAAGAAACGGUUCUGGCUAAUACCCGGAGCUAAUGACGGUACCUGAAGAAUAAGCACCGGCUAACUACGUGCCAGCAGCCGCGGUAAUACGUAGGGUGCAAGCGUUAAUCGGAAUUACUGGGCGUAAAGCGUGCGCAGGCGGUUGUGCAAGACAGAUGUGAAAUCCCCGGGCUCAACCUGGGAAUUGCAUUUGUGACUGCACGGCUAGAGUGUGUCAGAGGGGGGUAGAAUUCCACGUGUAGCAGUGAAAUNCGUAGAGAUGUGGAGGAAUACCGAUGGCGAAGGCAGCCCCCUGGGAUAACACUGAUCGCUCAUGCACGAAAGCGUGGGGAGCAAACAGGAUUAGAUACCCUGGUAGUCCACGCCCUAAACGAUGUCAACUAGUUGUCGGGUCUUAAUUNACUUGGUAACGCAGACUAACGCGUGAAGUUNCCCGNUAGGA